CUAGAAAUCAGAAGAACACAUUUAAGUGCUUUUGCUGAGAGCAUGGCCAAAUCCUUCCUCGUGUGGCUGUUAUUCUUGGUUUGGGGAUGUGCACGCAUAGCAUGUAUGAGGAGGGUGGUAAGUACUGAAGGCAGUGGCAUGAUUUGAAUCCAGAGGAAGCAAGAGUUGAAGGGCUCCCCCAAAGGAAGAGGAUGACAGAAGUUCAGCAUUUGGAAAUGAAAUACAAAGGUUGCCAUAGUAAGCUAACAACAGAUUUCAAAUCUAUAAUUUUACCUGGAGAGAGUCAUGUUAGAGUCCCCUCUGAGUAUUUUUGUUCCCUCUUAUGCUUUAAAUGCUUCAGAAACAAGUCACUCUGAAUUUAAGUUGUGCUCCUAAUUACCCUUAUUAUUAUUCUCAGAAUGUUCUUCAGAAGUAACGUGGUUUGUAGGAAAGAAAAUUAAUUGUAGCUCUUCUUGGUUUGGAAAUGCAGGCAACUGCAUACUCUGGCAAAUUCAUGUCUUGUUUUCCUCCUGUGUGAAGAUAACAGAAUUUCUCUUUCUACUUGUUUUUCUUGGGAUCCCUUUGGGAUUUGUUUUUUCCAGAUGGGUGAGACAGAAUUUUGCAUAUGGAAAUUGUUUUUGAAAUCACAAGAAAGUCAAGAGCAAGUCAGCCAGAGAAACAAAAACACCACAGCCAUCCCCUUGAAGACUUUUGUUCC
rnacentral:lncRNA from 1 species